AUGCGUCCGAUAUCCACUACCGCUGUCCGUAAAAACGGAGGGCCAGACAGUGUUGAGGCCGCGGUGGAAAUGCCACACAGCCGCAUACUAAACGCAAGAAAAACAGCACACACUCGAAAUGUGCUCUCACCAAUGGGAUUAUAUUUCUGUGUAAAUGAGCGGCGCGCCCCUCCCAUUCUUAAAAAGUCCACAGCUACAGUCCAGAAGGACUUCCAGCGAGACUUGCUGAUGAGAGGCCGAGGGUCCACAAGCGGAAGACUGAGACCAAAAGCGAAAAAAAGACGCAGAGUGUCCCUCUCCAUCCAAGUGGACAUGACACGAGUAAAUGCGUUGCCUAGUUACAACUCCAUGCACGUGUUCCUCACAGGACACCGUGAGACAAGGAGCGUUGUGCUCAGCGAGUGGGACAAAAUAGAAGCUUUCUGUUAAAAAGGAGCGUAGACAACAACGCUCUAUGAGAUAAACACAACGUUACACUGGUUGUAACUCGACCUGAGAGGAGUUGGGUUUAAACCAGACACACAGGGAGGGGAAAAAAACACAAAUUGAGAGGCCAAGGGAACGCAACACGGUAUUUAAACACGGAAAACUUUAAUAGUUUCAACACAGGGUGUUAAAGGGGGAAACGCGGCCGUCUUCUUAGUAAUCAAAGCAUUUUGUUUGGAAAUCGGACCACACAGAACUUUUCCUGCAGAUUUGUUAUGGGUGAAAUGCAAAAAUAACAAAAGAGCUAAAGCGGCUGUUCCCAAUUUCUUUGGUAAGCUACGGUAAACAAUUCCUGGACAUUCUUAGGCCAUAUUCUUUUCAUUUUAGCACCACCAUCAUCCUGUUUGUGGGAACCUGUUCAGCGACAGAACUGGCAUCCGGUCUCAGGCGCCUCGUCGGACAAAAACCAUGGCAUGAAUUCACUGAUGUGACCCAUGGGUACGGACACAAAAGUGGUUUUAUUGUUCUCAUCAAGCUCCAAAAAGAGAACAACAUCACUCCUAAAUAUUUGAUGCAUUGGACCCUCAUCUUUUUUGGGAGCAGCAGCAGCUGGAUGACACCUGUUCCUGUACAGCGACUUCCCACAAGCCACCGACCACCAGACGCCGGGCCGGGUCGCUGCCAUCUACCCGCCGCGCCGGGACUUGGUAAACUGGUCACAUAUAAAGUAUUUUUUUUUUUCCCAAGCGUCACAAUAGUCCUGUCUGUGACGACGUCAGCACAAUGCAUGUUCUCUUGCAUUUAACCAACAUCCUGCCUCGGACGUGUCGGGAAGGGGAAUUCAAUGAUGUGGCAGCUUCUGCAUCUGUAUCCUGCUUGCAGCUGGCAAAAGACCUUUCUACCCCAUAACUGAGAGGGUCCUUACAGGACGCAUCUCCCAAGAACGCUAUUUUCAAAAGAAAAUCUUCCAAAUAUUAUUUUAAACAUUUCCAGACUCCUCAUACGUCUGGUAUGGACCCAAAUGUAAAAAUCAACCGUCAAAUUUGCUAUUUGGUAGCAUAAUAUUAUCGGGCAUGAAAAUAAAUAUUGUUCUUAGGGGUUAGAGGCAUAAAUCCAUUGGUUAGGAGGUGACAAAUACAGACAGGAAAUCUGUUUCCACUCAACAUAUUUUUUCAGCCAAUACCAACUUUUGAGGCCUAAAGUAAUUUGUGCGUUCAACACAACCUUAAAAAUCCACUGGAACACCAGACAAAAGUAAAGAAAGACUUGCAAUCCACCACAUAUUAUUACUACAUAAGUUGUAAGUACGCUUUAAAGAGGGGUGUCACGGGGGAAGUUUAUUUACUUACUACAGCAUGGUAAAUGUCUCUUUGAAAGGGCCGGAGGACAUAAUCAUUUCUAUUGAUGUGGUACAGAAACUUCAAACUGUUUCAUGAAGCUUUUAACACCUGCCAGAGCAGGACAUUCAUCACGGCGCAGCGAGGAGGAGAAUUAAAGGGAAUAAACCACCUCCUCCAACCUGGCUGAAAAGCUGCAGCGUCUCCCAUCUACGACAUUGCGGGUGUCAUUUGUAUUUGUCUGUUGGGCUACAUGCUAAAAGGUUUUUAUUGGCCUCUGCGCGAUUACUAAAUCAUCUUCAACAAACUCGGCCGGUUACCCACACAUUCCAGGGAGUGAGUGGAGUCGGGACACCUGGCCUUAAAUAACCCCCUCAUGGCCUGUAAAAAAACAGAAGUAGGAAUUUCUCAUUUCUGUGCUCAUAAAUGAAAGUUCAGAUGAAAAAAAAAAUGAAAAAAAAGCUUCCUAACAAAAUGACGUCGAGUCUGGAUGGAAGGAGUGGUCCAUCCUGAGAGGUGCCUCCGAUUAUAUCUGCAAGGAACAAAGCAGCCACUCUCUUAAAAAAAAACAAAAAUCAGACACACUUGAGCACAAAAAUAAACCCUCUGGCUGGCGGAAUAGGUCACUGGGAUACCACGGGACGAGCCCACGGGACGAGCCCACGGGACGAGCCCACGGGACGAGCCCACGGGACGAGNNNNNNNNNNNNNNNNNNNNNNNNNNNNNNNNNNNNNNNNNNNNNNNNNNNNNNNNNNNNNNNNNNNNNNNNNNNNNNNNNNNNNNNNNNNNNNNNNNNNCAGGAUGCAGAGCUCAAGCGUUUCCUGCCUCAGAUUAAAGAAGGCCCAUCUUGGAGGCUUUUGCUUGCAUUCUGGGGCUUUUUUCAUUUGACCUGGUCGCAGAUGGGCCUCCGUCCAUAAACCUCCUCCGCCCUGCUGAACGGCCGCCAGGGCAACGGAGAGAUAAACACUCGGUGGCAAUAAUUGAUACCACGGACAAACAAAGAUGCCAGUGAGAGAAAGGGCACGCUGUCCUCCGCUCCUUCCGUCACUGCUGAUUCACAUCCUCUACUCGGCUUUCUUCUCCUCCCCCUUCUCUCUUAUUCAAAGUCAUUCGUUCUUCUCUCUGGAGCUGCGUCUCUCUGUCUGUCAAUCCUCUUAAGCGCAGCGUCCUCCCACACACUUCUCCUUCUGUUUUAAAUAUAGAGGCCUCGAUGGGCUGGUGCUUUACUUAGCCGGCAGAUGUGCAAUUACGAAAAGGACCAUUUGGACCACAAUAGCACCCCGGGGGCAGAGCUCUGAGGCCUGUUACGUCCUGUCUCGCUCUCUCUCGCUCUUUGGCCGUUUCCUUUUUCAAAUUGCAGUUUUUCUCUCUUUGUCUCAGGUCACAAUUGCCGCUGCCGCUCGCGGAAAAAGCCAACGCCUUGAUCAUCGGCCCGUGUUUCCCCGACCCAACCUGCUGCACCUGUAAAACCAUGUGGACGGACUAUUAUUCUCCUCACUUGGAUAUACAUACAGUCUGGGUUGUCAUUAUGCUUAUUUUCAAGGCCUGUAAAACCUGUGUGUGUGUGUGUAGGAGGGGGGGGGGGGGGGUUGUUGUCAUGCCCUGGAGCUGCUCUAUUUGGUCUAAAACUCUCCUGCAGGGUCACAGCUGGGACAUCUGCUCCUCAUACACUCAUUUCUUCUCUUUCCAGGGUUAGGGUUACUUUGGGAGUUCCUUCUUUCCUUAUCCACCCACCCGAACAUUCAUGGCUGAAAUGACAGCGAGAAACCAAAUCAACACGCUGUUACAGACCUUUACAAGGUGGCUCAAAGCAAAACAACUAGAGGCUCCCUCUUUGUGACUGUCUCACCCCGAGCCGGACUGACUAAUGUGGAAGGUAUGUGCUGAGCCUACAACCUCUGCCGCCGUUGGCCUCUGGAAUUCGGCUUCACGCGAGGAACGCCCAACCUCCACCAGUCACACCGAACCCUCCUGCUGCUGCCGGUGCCCACUCUCCCUUCUUAAAGACACCGCCGUCUCGCUCCGUCCAUCAUUUACGCAUGCUCGGGUCUGAGCACUGCAGACGGAGGCGGGUGGCAGGCGAGGGAGGAGUGGUGGUGUGUAAGGAGCGGUUUGGGGGGGGGGUCUAAAUCUGGGAAUCAAAGAGUCUGGCCGGGUGGAGGGGAUCAAAGCCGCCGGCCACACAGGUUUAAACCAAAACCAUGAAAAGGUCCGCAGUGAGAGAACGAUCAUCAACGGGGCUGAGCUUCUCUGAAAGGUCGCUAAAUGUGUCGUCUGCACAUCAUUGCUAUAUAUGUAUGAAUGUAUACACACACACACAUUUAUAUACAGAGUAUUCAGUAUGCAAAUGACUAUGUUUAGUGGUUGCCUGAAAGCAGUUCUUGUUUCUCUGGAGAGAAUAAGCAUGUUUGGAGGCCUUAUAGUCCUCUGCCUUUGACUACAACAGAACAGCCAGCAGGACCUAAAACGAAAUAAAGUGGUUGAAGCUUCCGAUUUUCAUCUCAUUUCAGGUCUCAAACCAAUAACAACUGUUAAAAUUACAUCAAAAGAGGACAAUGGCAACAGUGCCUCUCCCCCACAUUCCUCCAUUUUCUACCAGCUCAUUGUUGAGCUUUUUUGAAACGUGGGUACUUUAACGACUCAAAAUGAACGCGGUUUCUCAUCCGCUUUACAGUAUGACUGAAGAAAGACGGUAGGAGGUUUACCCCAAAUCCUUCAGCAAUUAAGGUCAUUAAGGACGAGAAGAAUAUAAGCCGGGCUCAUAUUCCUCAGAGGGACCAGCGUGUUUGUUGAUAGGGCUUCAGUUUCCAUGACACAGCUCUCCUGAGGAGAACAAUUCCCAUCAAGCGUCUCUGCAGCCUUUCGCUGAGAACUCGGGGGCGAUCAGUCUUCCAGAAC
ensembl:lncRNA